GCGGUGGGUGUACUAACCCGAACCUCCGUCUUUCUUAUGUGUCAUACAGCCACUGAAAGUGGCACAUACAGGUCAAUUGAAAACCUAAUGGGUCAACACCUAACACUGAAGGCUGCCUUUGUUGUCAGUAUAGGACGCAAAAGUCAACUUUCCCAGCGUCUAUAUAAUGUGCAAAUGAGAAUAGCAAUUCCCUUGUAAUUCUUCUUGGUACUGUACUGCACAUGCCUUCAGCAUGUUGGUUCAAUUGAUAAGAUUUUAUCUCUUUCCAGGCAGUGUUUCCUCCACACCAUCCCCAGGGAGGAGCAUCUUGAGACCUUCUCUGCCUAUGGCUGAAUGUUGGCUGUGGAGGUUUUCCCGGUUGAAAUCAUACUGUUGCCCUCAGAAAGUCGACACCAGAAAAUGUGUUUUUGUUUUUGCCUGAGAGAAACUUAAAAUAAUUCCUGUAUUUCCAAUUAAAGAAUGCAUUUGUCACUGUUUGCUUUCAUCUGUGGCCGUGGAGCAGGGGGUUACUUUACACA